ACAGCCUUUGCCACUUCCCUCUGGAGGCUGCAGCUCACCCGGAAAAAGGCUAGGGACACAGGAGACCCCCACUUCAGACUCCUCUCCUGCAGCUGCUGCCCCUCAGGCCAAGGAACAGCCCUCUCUGUUGGAAGGGAGCACCCAGAACAGAGGCCAUCCAAACCUGAGGCAGAGGGGGACCAUAUCCUCCUCACCAAUCUAAGAGGCUUCCCCAAAGACCUCACCCCCAGCUUUUGCAGACCCAGCCUAGUGCCUGGGCUUCAGCUGAGAGGCUGGGGGGAUGUUUUCCUUCCUGCCCCAGAGACUGUCAACUGAAUCCUCAAAAUGUAUCUGAAGGAAUGGGAGACAUUCUAAAUACACUGUUUGACUCUGAACAAAAAGAUCAAAAGUUCAGGGACAUUCUUUGAGGUCAUCAGAGUACAAAACAGAAAUCAGUCAAAGGAAGAGUCUGGGCUUCAACAGAUCAAAUUAAAUUCUAGUGAGGAAACUGCUUGUUAAUUUGGAGCCAGUUAACAAGAGAAAACAGAGACAAUGUGAAAUAUUACAAAACCAUAUGUGAGAUUUAAUAACACUUUCUAAGGUAAGAAGAGCUUUAAAGAACUUAAAUGCAAAGGAGACACGUGGAUCUAACUUCUGUCUGGCUCGGGAAGAACAUAUGAGGCUUCAGAAUUCCUACAGGAAAAAGAGAAACAGAGAAACCAACAUGCUGCCUUUAAUGACUUGAUCAAAUGCCGUGAGCAAUCUCAGAGAGUCCUCCAUGUCCUUUUUUGCAAGACACAAGAAAACGCCCAUCUAAAAGAUCACAUUACACCAUGAGAAGCGCCGGCAGGCCAGCAGAGCGAUGAGACACAGUUUCGGACAAGUCAGACGGCAGAUGACUUCGACAGAGUCUUCGUUAACCAUGAUGGGGAAAAGCACAGACUACUUCCAGGCAACACAGAGGGAGGUUGUAUCAGACAAGCAACAUCUGGAAGAACAGUAAAUCCGCUGAAAGAAGGUGACUAUCCACUGCAUAAGGCCAACACUCUCCUGAAAAGAUCAACGUGCAUCUGCACAGCCCACUCAUGCAGAGCAUUAGCAGAAAAUCACAGCCCUUAAGCAAGGUGACUCUGGAAGAGAAAGAAAUGGAAGCGAGACGCAGCCUUCCAAACGCACUUCAGAAGAGCAUCCGCAAGACAGGGGCUGGGAGAGCAACUGCCGUAGUGAAAAGUAACAUUGACUUACUUCAUGGGACCAAGCCUCUUCUGGAACAUCAAUCUAAAAACCACAGAGCCUUAAUGAAAGCUGUUAGCAAACGGAAUCUCAAAAACCAGUUUGCUUAGCAAGGAAAAGAACAGGAAGGGAAGUGGCAAAAUCUUUCCCCCAGAAGAAAAUAACCAAAACUCCAAGACCUGGAUUAAAAAUGAGAAAAACAAGAAAGGCCUUAUACGAUCCAGAGUUGCAUUCUGAACAAGAACACCCAUGAACUCUCCUUCAUGACAUAGUAUGUUAAAAGAGCUCUUGCCAGCCGGGUGCGGUGGCUCACGCUUGUAAUUCCAGCACUUUGGGAGGCCAAGGCAGGCAGAUCACCUGAGGUCAGGAGUUCAAGACCAGCCUGACCAACAUGGAGAAACCCUGUCUCUACUAAAAACAUAAAAUUAGCCAGGUGUGGUGGCACAUGCCUGUAAUCCCAGCUACUUGGGAGGCUGAGGCAGGAGAAUCACUUGAACUCAGGAGGCGGAGGUUGCAGUGAGCCGAGAUCACGCCAUUGCACUCCAGCCUGGGGCAUAAGAGCAAAACUCCAUCUCGAAAAAAAAAAAAAAAAAAAAAAAAGGAGCUCUUGCCACAGAGAAAGUAGGUGCUACCAACUUGAGACACAUUUCAGGAUAAACAUACCGAGGAAGGGAGAGUCUUCAAUCAACUGUGUUCCUCAAAACAGCCCUGAGAAGCAACAGUCAUCAGAGACUUCCUGCAAGACACCCUCAACCACCAGAGUUUUGGCCCCACCCCCAUUCCCACACCAGGAAUGGCAUUCAAUUUAUAAAUCAACUUGGAAGGAAUGGGCAUCUUGAUGAUGAGUUGUGACAGCCAAAAACAAGGCCAUUGAUUUCUGUAAGCUGAUUUUCCAGAAAAAGGCUAAAACUACAAAGGAGAUGGUGCUGAGGCUUGAGCGCUGAGCCCAGCUACAGAUCUAAGACGAUGCGGGCUAUGAGGACAUGCAAGCAUUUUGAACUGGGAGGAGAUAAGAAGAGAAAGGGCCAAGUGAUUCAGUUCUAAAUUUCAUCUUUUGUUUUAUU